rnacentral:rRNA from 1 species
UACAGAGGGGGCAAGCGUUAUUCGGAAUUAUUGGGCGUAAAGGGCGCGUAGGCGGCUUGGCAAGUGGAUGGUGAAAUCCCUCGGCUUAACCGAGGAACUGCCGUCCAAACUGCUUCGCUUGAGACCGGGAGAGGUGAGUGGAAUUCCCAGUGUAGCGGUGAAAUGCGUAGAUAUUGGGAGGAACACCAGUGGCGAAGGCGGCUCACUGGACCGGUACUGACGCUGAGGCGCGAAAGCGUGGGUAGCAAACGGG